rnacentral:lncRNA from 1 species
ACAGAAACGCCGCUUGGCCUUUGGACUACACCAUCUGUCGCUCGCUCUAACGAGCCGGCGUUGCCGCCAGGGGACGCUCGGGCCGCAGGAGGUCGCUGGGUCGUGAGCUGGCGCCGGGGACGCCGAGCGACUGCGGGGUUUCCCUCAGCGUCCUGCUAUCCGGCUGCCCGCCGCGCUCCUUGGUAGUGUCCGUGGGCGCGCAGGCCUUGAAGAACCUCCUCGUGGCGGGACCCCGAGGUAACUGCUGAGGCAGAUAAUGGCGCCUGGGCUGCGGUGGGGCUUGUCCUGCCGCCUGGCGGCUUUCUGCAGGGCCAGGAUAUACUUACUUUUCUGUAAACCAACUCUUCCUUAGCGCAGGAGAGGUGUCAAAGAGCUGGCGCGUCUCCAGAGCCCCGGGAGGAAGGCUGUAACGGCAGCCCCAUCGUAGACAGGGACAUUCGCAUCCCGAGCCCUGGAUCUCUGAAAACCAGCCCAGAAUUUGGAAGCUGGAAGGAACUUUAGAUCGUCCAUUCUGAGUGUCUCUCUUCGCUGGCGUUUUCCCACUGAGGUUAUGUAAACAUGAAGAGGAGCCUACAAGUGUCAAGGAAAAAACGACAGCUAACCACAGGGCAGGCCAUGGGCAAGAUAUCUCAGUGUUCUCCGCUCUCAUAGGUCAGAGACUAAAAGUUCUUCUGAAGAGCAGGCAAUGUUGGAUGGGGGGAAGCAAAUGGAGGAGCGAGCCACUCCUGAAUUGACUAAAAGGCUGGAGUGCAGUGGCACGAUCACAGUUCACUGCAGCUUUGUUCCUGGACUCAAGUGAUCCUCCCACCUCAGCCUCCCAAGCAGCUGGAACUACAGGUCACGACCCCCAGGAGACCUGGAGGACUGAAUGCUGCUGCCCCCAAGGAGGAGGCUGCCGUCUUAUCCCAGGAGGGAGAGCAGAACCUGCCUGAUCUCACUGCUGGAUCCCUCUUCUUCCUGCCAGGAAAAUAAAAAGGUUCAAAAGGAAGUUGCUGCGUAUCCAUCUGAGGCCUCUGAGGACAGCAAAGAGCAAAGGCCCUGGGACCGGGUCUACGUGCCCAUGACAGAGCUCUGGCUGGACUGGUUCUGAGC